rnacentral:lncRNA from 1 species
UCUGUGAUUUUCGCCAUAUUAACAAACCACCAAUUGUCUGGUGUUCUGAAUGUGAUGAAGGACUUUGUAAAGAAUGUAAAGAGCAUCAUAGUAUUUCAAAAGGAACAAGAAGUCAUGACACUAUAUCUAUUUCCGAGUAUGAGAAACUGCCAAACAAAGUACAUGUAUUACAAUUGGCACGUUCUUGUGAUUAGCAUACUGAGAAACAUGUGCUAUUCUGUAAAAAGCAUGACUGUCCGUGCUGCAAGAAAUGUGUAGUUGCAUCACACAUGGAAUGUAAAGAAUUGACUCGUCACCGAUAUCGAUGAGAUAACAAUAUCAAAUCUUCAAAUGCUUUUGCAGACAUCGAACAGACCUUGUCAGAAAUUGCAGAGAAUCUUAAAAGAUUUCGAAUCGACCGGGAAGACAAUUUGGCGU